AUUCAAAUAGUUUAUUAAAAAUGCAGGUUUGUGGAGCCUGAGAUGUAGAUUAUACUUUGGAUA
rnacentral:tRNA from 1 species